rnacentral:lncRNA from 1 species
CCCCAAUUAUAGAAAAUGCCUAGAGAAGAAGGAUUGUCACAAAAGAAAGGUCCAAGUCCACAAAGAGGUAUUCUGUCUUGAUUAACUAUCGAGCCUAAUGUUUACAGAAACCCGGGAAAAAACAAUAACCAAAACGAAAAAGAAAGAAUGGAAAUGAAGGCCUAGAACUCAACACUGUUAAAACCGGCUUAUUUCCAACAAAAGAAACUCUCAGAUUCGAGAUUGGAAUAUCUUUGAAUUCAAGAACGGAAGCAAGGGUACAAUUGCAGAUAUUCCAGGACAAUGUAGUCGAUAUAUGAUGCUCAUUCGUGAAUCGUGCAUACUUCAUUGAAACAUAUCUACACGGAAAAACCAAGGAAGUAUGAAAGCUAUCACGAGACAUGCCAUUAAGAAGUUACAUAACGGCUGUCCAGUCAUACACCUUCUGCUGCCAUCUGAAAAGUUAGUAGAAGCAUCCAAAGAUCGCCUCUCAUUCCACUCUUCCAUAAAUCUGUUGUCACUAACACCUGUGAUAUUUGUUGCAGUCUCACCACAAAUUUCACACAAUCUGCUAGAGUGAAAUAAAGCAAAUCAUAUAUUGCACAAAAAGGAGGAAACAAAAAAGUACACAAAUUCAAAGCAAGCAUAGAAAUAACAGUAUAGUAGAUUUCUUCCCAAAUUGAUAAUUUCAGAUUCAAUUCCAAUCUAUUUCUUCAUGACUAAUAGUCAAUUCCAAUCUAUAGAUAGUAAUAAUGCAAAACAGCAGUUAUACAAAUAUAAAAGGGAUCAACAUGUCUGUUGCAAAAGUACAAUUCCUCUGCAAUUUACAUAAAAACUUCCAUUAAAUCAGCAAUGGAACCUAAAAGGCUAAAACAAUUAAUUUACAUUUGAUUCACCAUUAAUUGCAUGAAUAUAGAUAGCACAAGCAACUGAAGCACCAGAGGCAUAAUAAAUGUGCAGUAUAGUUAAGCAUGAACUUGAUUUCAGAUUUUAGUUAAACUGAGUGCAUAUAGGACUUUUUAAUUUAAUAGUAUAUACUAGUAUACUACUAUUGAGAAAUUUUACACUUUCUAGGAGAACUAAAAGGAGAUUUCAACUCUCGUGGAAUUGGAAAUUUGGAAAAACACAAUUUGAAGUAUUGAACCCUUGAUUUCCCUCUUUAAAGUUUCAAUGUACUUCGCUACUUUGUCAACUCCAGAAUGUAAAUGUUCUAAAUUAUGCUUAGGAAACAGAAAUAAAUAGAGAUAGAUCAAUCUACUUGAUAAUGGACUGAUAUAGCAACUUUAUGUCUACUCUUGCUGAUUCUUCAACCUGAAGUAUAGCUCUAUACUAACCAUAAUAUCAUCAAAAUACCAUUAACACAACAAGAAGAAGAAACUAGGCGUUAUCCUCAAUAAAAAUAGACAUAGUGGAGAAGUCAAUAGAAAAAAAUUACUACUGGAAAUCUAUAUUUUGAGAUAACCAAAGCUGUAAAUAUAAAACAAUAUGAUUGUUCUCCAAAAUAAUGUUUUCCAUAUGUAACUCAAUUCAGAUGAAUUCACUAUCGCAAGACCAACCUCUUGCAGUUGCAUUGAGUCAUUGAUAGAAUAAGCUAAACUUUACAUGUUAUUAACAUAUAGAUACAUUAUUAGGAGAGAAUUUAUCAAGAGGUAUAGGAAUAACAAAGUUUCUUUUAUUUGGGUUUAUAGUUUGCUUUUCAUAUUAGCUCAGUCGCUUGCUGUUAAUAGCUUCAAAAUCAAAUUAAAAUAACUGCUAUAAUAAAUGUCAUCAUACAUUUUCUCCAACUCAAGACUCGAAUAUUCAUUUCAGACGAAAACCCUUCUUUUCAUCUAAUUGAAGUAACUAUUGUCAUCAAUUUCUCACCUUCGUUAAAAAGGUCAAAACUUUAUGCAAUAAAAAAAAAAUCUCAAAAUUUCCAUAGACAAGAUUUACUUUACUUUUCCUCUAACUCACAAACAAGUUAUAAAUUAUCAUUCUUGCAGAAAACAUACAUAUCCUGCCCUUUGAACAGACACCAAAAUAACUAUAGUGUGUUAGCCCCUGUUUCACCGGGCUAUUUUUUCUAGUUCCUCUUAUUCAAAAUUUUCUCGUCUCAUCUCAUAUGAAUAGAUCUAGGAAUAACGAUGGAUCUAGCAAAUAAUGCACAUAUGGAAGCAUUUAAAUAAAAAUUAUUACCUAUGUCCUUUGACCCUAAACCAGGCCUCUGCGCAUUCUGAAUGUGCAAUCCCAAGCUCACCUUUACACCCACAACCAAUCUCCAUCAAAGCUAUAGAUUCUUUUCCACUUUCCUUCGCACUCAAAUGGCAUAUUCUGCAGACCCUUUCGCCCUCUCCUACAGAACUCCCAUUUGCACCAGAAUCAGAACUCUUGACAUCAAUCACACAUGACGGACAGUUGUCUUCCUCCUUCACUUUUGCUGGUUCAUCCACUAUCAUUGCUUCAUUUGGCGUUGACCCAUCUGACUUGUCAUUUAAAUCUGCAGUUUCAGUCAGUUCAAUUGUGAUAUGAGUCUCAGAAUCUGCUGUAUUGCGUGAAUGAUCACCCGCACUAAUUUGUUUCAUUUUUUGAUUAAUUUCUCUCGUCGAAUCACUCGAUUCUUGAUCCAUCAAUUUUAAAACACCUAUGCGCAAUCAAUGGCUGAACAAAAACACUCAAUGAAUCUACAACAAUCCACAACUACAGCACAUACUCCCAACCGGGACUAUGUGAAGAACAAUCAAUAAAAAACAGCUAAAGGGUGUAUUGUAUAUCGAAGAGUAUAAUGGAUAGGGUUAACAAUACAGGAAUCCGCCAAUUGGAAGGUGCUACGUGGGAAGUAGUUGCCCAGUUGGUAAGGUUCCAUUAGUAUUGGCGAUGAAAAAGGGGUUUAUAUUUGUAGGGUGGAUCUGAUCUGUGGUUUGAGUAUUUUGUGCCCUCAAAAAUCUGAAAUCGGAUUAAGUUGACUUGGAUGUCGAAGAGAAAGAGUCCUCCUUCGCGGAUAAUUAAAGAACUAUGAUUGAGUUAUUUAUAAAUUAGGGAGUGGCUCUCUGUCAUUGGUAAACGACAACUGGCUUGUUUCACGGUGAAACUAUCAAUUGCCGCCACGCCACGCGGCGGACGGCAAAAUUCAGAAUUAUUCUAGACGGAGGCCCGUGGCCCUGUCCGCCUAACACGGUGACCAAUAGCAUGUUUUUACGACUAAAUUAUUCCAAAUUGCAUUUUUCUUCCCAAUUCAUUGUCUUUAUUAUUAUUAUUAUUUUUUUGGCCUCUAUCCUCUCAAAACUUUUAGCCAUUUUUUGACACUCCUUUAACAUUUUAAUACAUUUUUAUCUCUUUUUUAAUCACAUAUUUUUCAAUAAAUCUAUAUUAUACGUAAAUUAAAAAAAAAUUCUUCUAUUUUAACCACACAUUUUCCCAAAAAAUACUAUUUUAUAAUACAUUUUGCCAAAAUUUCUCUCUAUAAUAGGGCCCCGUUUGGGAGUGAUUUUCACCCCCAAAAAAUUGAUUUUUUGAUCGUUAUUUCACUAUUUUAAUUUCAACUGUAAUUUUUGAUUUCUUCUCUCGCAGCUGGCUCCCACUUUUUUCCUAACAGUCAAAAAAUAAAAUUUCAAAAUCACCACCAAACAAACCCUAGAACUCAAACAAAGGCUUAAUAUUAUUCUGUUCUUAUUAUAGGAAUAUAUUUUUCAAUAUUAAAAACAUCUUCAAAGCCACUGAGAGAGUCAUAUUAAUUAAAUUUAAUUAAUACCAAAAACUCUCCCUUAUUUUAAAUUCAGAUAUCUCUUUUUUUUUUCGACAACCCUAGUUGACGCGAGAUGGAAACAUGAACAAUAAUAAAAGGAUCUUGUUUAUAAUACACGAAUGAAUGUUGAUUAAAUUUUGCUCAAACGGACGUGAAAAUUAUUGGAAUCUACUAAAUAACGAAAAAAAUUUGAAUUAUUAUUAAUCAAAAUGAAUGUAAUAUUUUCAAAACCUUAACACAUAUUUAAAUAUUCAAAACAAAUUCUUUUAAAAAUGAAAUUCUAAACCUGUGGAUAAAUUCAAAUAAAAAUAAAAAAAUUGCAAAAAUAAAGAUAAUACCCCUAAACUAUAUCAAACUUCUAAAAUGCUAAAACGAACCCUAAAUGAAAAAAAUUUGGUCUCAAAAGUUUGACAAUGUUGGCCAAAGGACAUUGUCAUCCUAUUCUCAAAUUGUACUUGUUUGUGUAUUCUAAUAAUCGAGCAGAAAGUUAUGCAUAUUUCCAUAUAUCUUUAUUAUUCUUUUUCCUUUCUAAUUGAUUUAUAAUUUUCUCUUCCGAUUGAUUCGCAUCACUAGUCAAGCCCCCCUCUCCCCUCUUCCACAGCGAUAAUCGAGAAAUUUUAGAAAAUAAGAAGAAGAAGUUAUUUUAUACAAACUCAACAAUAACCUUACAAUAUUCUUUUACUUUCGACUCUCUUCUUUUCUCUUUUAUUGUGCCUUUGUGUUCCUUCAUUACCAGAUCAACUUCCCUUUGGAAAGAAACAUGUAAUUCAUGUAAAUACUUGAUUUUUUCCCCUUGUUUUGAUAUUGCAAAUUUUGUAGUAUCAUCAAAUAAACCUAUAAUAUUUACAAAAUUGAACAUUCAUAGACUUUCACUGUUUUUUGUGGGUCAACAAACAUGUUUGCAUGCCCACUAGCAACGUGGGUCACAUGACACUUCUUAGUUGUGUACCAUGAAUAUAACGCAUUUAACAAUUCCGUGCCCAACUUGGCCAUAGGACACUUGAUUAAGGUUGUACGCGUAUCUUUCCUUCAAUUUUCAAAAAAAAUUCAAUGACUGAUUAAAUCGGACCUUCAAAUAGUCUGCCCUGACCAUGUACUGCCUAAAGACCAAUGUCAAUUUCACAAUAAUUUUUGGUUAUUUAGAGCCUGUUUGGUUUAGAUUUUAAGCCAAUUAUAAUUAAUUUUUUGAUCGUUAUUUUACUAUUCUAGCAGUCAGUUUUGAAUUCCCCUCUCACAGGUGGAUCCACUUUAUCUCUAAUGGUCAAAAAAUCAAUUAUCAUAAUCCCUACCAACAAACACUUAAGCUUAACGCUGUAGCUAGGCUUGGUUAAAGAAAAAUCCGUGUUUUGUUUGAAUCGCCUGCUCGGAUGCUUUGCUUAGGAUGCAAUUUGCAUUACACGUUAAGCCAGAAGUUUUUCCUUAUUUUUUAACCACAUAUUUUCUAUCAAAAUACUAUUUCAAAAUGUAUUUUGAGCAAAAAAUGGAGCUCAAAUAGGCUCUUAAGUAACGUGCCUAAUCAAUUUUUCUAGAGUAAUGUUAUGUAGUUCAAUUAGCAAUUUAUCAAUAGUCUAUGUAGACACGGUAGAUUUAAUUGAGUAUGAUCUCAUAAAAUUACAUUUUAUUGAACUUAUGAUUUAUGUUACAUACAAAGAUUAGUGUAAUUGUUUGGUAAUCUUUUUUUUUUUUUUUUUUUUUGGGUGGAGACUCUAAGGAGAACAGUAUUCUUAAGUGAACAAGGAGGGAAAGGGUGAUGGUGACGUGAAUUUGGAUGGUGUGGAGUCGGCAGAGAACAUAUUCUGAUUUGAGCUUCUGAGAAAUUUCUAUCUUCUCAAUGUGGACUUGAGUCACAAUUAUUAUAAUUUGUGUUACUUUUACUUUUUUAUGACGUGAGGAAUAAUUAUGAAUUAAUGUCAUAAAGUUACAUGUUAUUUUGCUGAUAGACGGGUUAUUUUUCAUUCAAAAAUCAGAUUAUUUUUAUAUGGUAA